GCGGCCCCGAGCAGGUCUGCGACUUCAGGCUGUCACCAAGGGAACCGUCAGGCGCCCUCUAAUUGUCCUAGGCUCACACUCCUAACUUCGUUGACUCCCUUGAGAACUGAGUGCUGGAGAGGCGCGGGGGUGAGGAUGGGAAGCAGAAGCUGCAAACAGCUGAGGUUUGGGGCCGAGAAGAUUGCAACCAUCCUAGCGUCCUCAGGCUUCAGACAUGGCUGGUCCUGGGACCCACAGGGCUCUUUCCAGACCCAGUUCUCCUCUUCCCCUCCGUUCUGCUCUUGCCGAUUAUUUAUUUUUGUACAGAACAUCAGGGUUGAUAACCAUCCUGUGGUUUCCAGCCAAAGUCUCAGGGGUGGUUUCCGUUGGCCAGCCUGGUUCAUGUGUCCAUCCCCAGGCCAGUUGCUGAGGCCCUUCAGCUAAGGUCCCAUCUGGGGAUGGGGUAUUGGGUCCCUGGAGAGGUAACAAUGGAGCAGCCAAAGGUAGAUUAGUGCAAUGUCUGAUCUCGUGGCGUCCCCACCAUCCAGUGGUGAAGACUUGACCAUGCAACAAAACGCUGGGCAAAGGGGGCCAUGGUGUCUGGACUGGGGAGGAGGGGUUGGCCCAACUGAGGCAGGGGGCUGGGUUGGAAGUGGUGCAGCUAAGCCACAUAUUCCUUGUCAGCUUCGUGGCCACUCAAGUGGCAGAGAGGCACAGGUGGUUUGGGUGCCAGAGGUGCCUAUGGCCCUUGGGUCUGCACUCUCUUAGGAGGUAGGACAGGGCUUAGCACAUGCAAAAGUCCAGAGGGAAGCUGGGGCCAGUGCCUUGGAGGGACUGGGCAGAAUGUGGCGGGUGAACUGUGAGUGUGGAAGUGUACCUAGGGUUGUUAGCGUAGUCCCUGGGAGCUGACACUGGGAAGAAAGGGUCUGUUUGGGCAACGAGGGAGCAGGAGUAGGCAGGGAAGGGAGACUGAAUGCUGUGGGCCUCCAGGCUGGAGAUGGAUGACUGGGAUCAGAACAGUGCUGGGGGUGUGGAGAGAAGUGGACAGAUUCAGGAGGCUGGCUUCCGGUGAGAAUAACUGGAUGGACGUGGCAUGGAGAGGCUGGGCUUGGGACUGAAUAUGGGCUCAGGUACAGACAGUCCAGGAACAGGCUGGCUGGGUACUGUUGUAGCUUUCUUAGAUGACCAGUGCUUAUAUAUUCCUCUCCUGGGUUCCUCCUAUGGCUCUGGCCAAGUGGGGCCAUGUGGGCAUUCUGUCUAAGCCCUCAGCCCUGAUGAUAGUAUGGUAACACUUGGGUUCUCCACCUGCAGCCACAUGACUGGAUUGCAGAGAUGUCCCUGGCCAGCUGCAGAAAUGACCUUUCAUGGGUGGCCCUCACAUAGCUGUUCAUGUUGAUUUCUUCUCAGAGGGCUGUUUUGGCAGGCAUAAAAUCUACAAAGAUGAAGAGAAGAGCAAAGGAAACAGACAAACCCCUGAUAUUUUCUACUCUGGAAAGCAGAAUGGGCAAAUGGUAACUGUGCAGCAGACCGGAGAAGGUAAAUAGUAAAUUAGCAGUGGGGAAAAUAGAAAAAAAACCAAUCUGUUUUACCCCAAAGGUCAAAAAGUUCAGGAGUUGGAGGUACCAGAUACCUCUGGCCAUGCAGGUGAAGGGGCAAGGGCAUCAGGCAGGCUGGGGAAGCUGUUUCAGAAGCUGAAGCUGGGCAGGACUUCUGUCUGCACAGAAUUCUGUGGGAACGGUGGGUACUGCUGUAGCUCUGAUGUCUGAAUCUCUUCUCCCAUCCUGGCAAAAGGCUGGGUUGAGGGUGGGAGAUGGUACUGAGGAGGUGGACGGAGUAAGUGAAGUCACACUGGGUGCUGAGACACCAGCCUCUCUCCCAGGAUGCUGGCAAUAGGCUAGAAGUGCCUUCUUAGAACACUCAGAGGAAAGAACUGAAGAUCCUCACAGCAAGGGUACCUCCAAGCAGCCCAGCCAGGUUGCCCUACGCCUCCUUCAGUGGCCUCCACCCACCCACUCACGUCUCCCAAGAAGUGGGUCUCCUCGGGGGGUGAACCCCUCAUCCCUCCCAGCCCGGAUUUGUGGUCCUGGCCAAUAAGACCCUCACCCACUUGCUGAGAGCCGCCAGAGGGACCAGAAACCACACUGGGAGAAGAAAGCCUAAAAAAGAAGUUAUUGUUAUCCUCAGAGAAACAAGGAAAGAUGUUACAACUGUAAAAACAACAGGAAGUGGUUAAAGAAGUGAAUGGUCAGGGAAGGAAAACAUUCCUGGAACUUAAAAACUCUGCUAGCAUAUACGAAAAUCUCAAAGGAGGAUCUGGAGGAUAAAACUGAAGAAACUUCCUGGAAACUAGAGCAGAAAGAAAGGGAUGGAAAAUCGCAGUGACAAGAACAUUGGAGGAUCUGUCCUAGGGUCCAGUAACCAAGUGACAGGAAUUCCAGAAACGAGAGAACAGAUAAUAGAGUGGAAGGAAAUCAAAGAGACAAUGCAAACCAGCUUCCCACAGUCGAGAAACGUGACAUUUCAGACUGAAAGGGCUCACCAACAGGGGUGAUAAAAAAUGCUUUGACCCAGUUUCACAACAGUUUAAAAAUAAUGUUUUGAGACUGAGUUAAUAAAAAGAAUUCUUCAUCCAGCCAAAAUUCAGUGUAA